GACGAACGCUGGCGGCGUGCUUAACACAUGCCAGUCGAACGGAAAGGCCCCUUUUGGGGUCCUCGAGUGGCGAACGGGUGAGUAACACGUGAGUAACCUGCCCUUGACUUCGUGAUAACUUCAGUAAACUGGGGCUAAUACCGGAUAGGAAUCCUUGCUGCAUGGUGGGGGUUGGAAAGCUUCGGCGGUUUUGGAUGGACUCGCGGCUUAUCAGCUUGUUGGUGGGGUAGUGGCUUACCAAGGCUUUGACGGGUAGCCGGCCUGAGAGGGCGACCGGCCACAUUGGGACUGAGAUACGGCCCAGACUCCUACGGGAGGCAGCAGUGGGGAAUAUUGCACAAUGGGCGGAAGCCUGAUGCAGCAACGCCGCGGGCGGGAUGACGGCCUUCGGGUUGGAAACCGCUUUCAGCAGGGGCGAAGCUUGUGGUGACGGUACCUGCAGAAGAAGCACCGGCUAACUACGUG
rnacentral:rRNA from 1 species